UGACAAAUGACUAUGAGAAUCUUGUUUGAU
rnacentral:piRNA from 1 species